ACAUCACCUGGCAGGGGAGACACCAUGGUCACAAAGGUGGUGUUCCCAGGGCAAGGUUGAUCCAUAGCACUUUGGAUGUGCUGACCCCUGUGACUUCCCCAAAUGCAGGGACUUCAUACUUCGUGCUAGAGGGGGAAAUGUUCGUGCUGUCAUCUCCCCUA